AGUGAACGCUGGCGGUAGGCCUAACACAUGCAAGUCGAACGGCAGCACAGUAAGAGCUUGCUCUUACGGGUGGCGAGUGGCGGACGGGUGAGGAAUACAUCGGAAUCUACUUUUUCGUGGGGGAUAACGUAGGGAAACUUACGCUAAUACCGCAUACGACCUACGGGUGAAAGCAGGGGAUCUUCGGACCUUGCGCGAUUGAAUGAGCCGAUGUCGGAUUAGCUAGUUGGCGGGGUAAAGGCCCACCAAGGCGACGAUCCGUAGCUGGUCUGAGAGGAUGGUCAGCGACACUGGAGCUGAGACACGGUCCAGACUCCUACGGGAGGCAGCAGUGGGGAAUAUUGGACAAUGGGCGGAAGCCUGAUCCAGCCAUACCGCGUGGGUGAAGAAGGCCUUCGGGUUGUAAAGCCCUUUUGUUGGGAAAGAAAAGCAGCAGGUUAAUACCCCGCUGUUCUGACGGUACCCAAAGAAUAAGCACCGGCUAACUUCGUG
rnacentral:rRNA from 1 species